rnacentral:rRNA from 1 species
UGGGGAAUCUUCCGCAAUGGACGAAAGUCUGACGGAGCAACGCCGCGUGAGUGAAGAAGGUUUUCGGAUCGUAAAGCUCUGUUUUCAGGGACGAACGGCAGAAAUAUGAAUAAUAUAUCUGCAUGACGGUACCUGAGGAGGAAGCCACGGCUAACUACGUGCCAGCAGCCGCGGUAAUACGUAGGUGGCAAGCGUUGUCCGGAAUUAUUGGGCGUAAAGGGCGUGUAGGCGGGAUAAUAAGUCUGUUGUAAAAGUGCGGGGCUCAACCCCGUAAGGUCAAUGGAAACUGUUAUUCUUGAGUGCAGGAGAGGAAAGUGGAAUUCCCAGUGUAGCGGUGAAAUGCGUAGAUAUUGGGAGGAACACCAGUGGCGAAGGCGACUUUCUGGACUGUGUCUGACGCUGAGGCGCGAAAGCCAGGGGAGCGAACG